UACGGGAGGCAGCAGUGGGGAAUUUUGGACAAUGGGCGAAAGCCUGAUCCAGCCAUGCCGCGUGCAGGAUGAAGGCCUUCGGGUUGUAAACUGCUUUUGUACGGAACGAAAAGCCUCUUUCUAAUAAAGAGGGGUCAUGACGGUACCGUAAGAAUAAGCACCGGCUAACUACGUGCCAGCAGCCGCGGUAAUACGUAGGGUGCAAGCGUUAAUCGGAAUUACUGGGCGUAAAGCGUGCGCAGGCGGUUUUUGUAAGACAGAGGUGAAAUCCCCGGGCUCAACCUGGGAACUGCCUUUGUGACUGCAAGGCUGGAGUGCGGCAGAGGGGGAUGGAAUUCCGCGUGUAGCAGUGAAAUGCGUAGAUAUGCGGAGGAACACCGAUGGCGAAGGCAAUCCCCUGGGCCUGCACUGACGCUCAUGCACGAAAGCGUGGGGAGCAAACAGGAUUAGAUAACC
rnacentral:rRNA from 1 species